CUUGCUUGUCUGAUGUUAGCGGCGGACGGGUGAGUAACACGUGGAUAACCUACCUAUAAGACUGGGAUAACUUCGGGAAACCGGAGCUAAUACCGGAUAAUAUUUUGAACCGCAUGGUUCAAAAGUGAAAGACGGUCUUGCUGUCACUUAUAGAUGGAUCCGCGCUGCAUUAGCUAGUUGGUAAGGUAACGGCUUACCAAGGCAACGAUGCAUAGCCGACCUGAGAGGGUGAUCGGCCACACUGGAACUGAGACACGGUCCAGACUCCUACGGGAGGCAGCAGUAGGGAAUCUUCCGCAAUGGGCGAAAGCCUGACGGAGCAACGCCGCGUGAGUGAUGAAGGUCUUCGGAUCGUAAAACUCUGUUAUUAGGGAAGAACAUAUGUGUAAGUAACUGUGCACAUCUUGACGGUACCUAAUCAGAAAGCCACGGCUAACUACGUGCCAGCAGCCGCGGUAAUACGUAGGUGGCAAGCGUUAUCCGGAAUUAUUGGGCGUAAAGCGCGCGUAGGCGGUUUUUUAAGUCUGAUGUGAAAGCCCACGGCUCAACCGUGGAGGGUCAUUGGAAACUGGAAAACUUGAGUGCAGAAGAGGAAAGUGGAAUUCCAUGUGUAGCGGUGAAAUGCGCAGAGAUAUGGAGGAACACCAGUGGCGAAGGCGACUUUCUGGUCUGUAACUGACGCUGAUGUGCGAAAGCGUGGGGAUCAAACAGGAUUAGAUACCCUGGUAGUCCACGCCGUAAACGAUGAGUGCUAAGUGUUAGGGGGUUUCCGCCCCUUAGUGCUGCAGCUAACGCAUUAAGCACUCCGCCUGGGGAGUACGACCGCAAGGUUGA
rnacentral:rRNA from 1 species